rnacentral:rRNA from 1 species
AUUGAACGCUGGCGGCAGGCUUAACACAUGCAAGUCGAGCGAGCGGCGGACGGGUGAGUAAUGUCUGGGAAACUGCCUGAUGGAGGGGGAUAAGUACGGGAAACGGUAGCUAAUACCGCAUACAGUCAGUUGUGCCCAGAUUGGAUUAGCUAGUCGGUGGGGUAAUGGCUCAUCUAGGCGACGAUCCCUAGCUGGGCUGAGAGGAUGACCAGCCACACUGGAACUGAGACACGGUCCAGACUCCUACGGGAGGCAGCAGUGGGGAAUAUUGCACAAUGGGCGCAAGCCUGAUGCAGCCAUGCCGCGUGUGUGAAGAAGGCCUUCGGGUUGUAAAUCACUUUCAGCGAGGAGGCGUUACUCGCAGAAGAAGCACCGGCUAACUCCGUGCCAGCAGCCGCGGUAAUUC